rnacentral:tRNA from 1 species
GCCCUCGUGGUUCAGUGGUAGAACGCCUUCUUGGUAAGAAGGAGGCCAUGAGUUCGAUUCUCAUCGAGGGCU